GCUGUGAAAUUGUUCUGUCUUUGAAAAGAAAAAUGUUUGGAUGGCACAAGUCACCACCUCUAGAACCAAAAACUUCAACCUGCUGUGUAUCUGAAGCACCUCGCCCUGACUGGUGAAGCAAAGAAACUGAAUAGAAGACCUGUGUUGAAGGCAUCAGUGGCUAACUAUCAAUAGGGACAACAGCCGUUAUCCCAUAUCCAGUAAGUACAACAGCAUGAAGUCUUGCUGUCUUGCCAGAUGCUAUCAUCAUGCCCUUGGACUUCCCAGCCUCCAGGACUACUUGCUGCAGUUUUACAUCCAGUUCACUGAUCAACUAUCAAACUGAAAGAUAGCUUGUCACUGCAUCUGCAGGGACUCACUUGCCUUGGGGAAAAAUACAUGUCACACAUUUACAUUUUGGCCUUAAAGUGAGGAAACUUUAUGGUUUUCAGAACAGAGUCAGAUCCUUGAAAAUGAAAACAAUAAAUCCAGUGCUGAUGGUGAUCAAUGCUGAA